rnacentral:rRNA from 1 species
CAUGGUUGUCGUCAGCUCGUGUCGUGAGGAAUGUUGGGUUAAGUCCCGCAACGAGCGCAACCCCUAUUGUUAGUUGCCAUCAUUCGGUUGGGCACUCUAGCGAGACUGCCGGUAAUAAACCGGAGGAAGGUGGGGAUGACGUCAAAUCAUCAUGCCCCUUAUGACCUGGGCUACACACGUGCUACAAUGGUUGGUACAACGAGUUGCGAGUCGGUGACGGCGAGCUAAUCUCUUAAAGCCAAUCUCAGUUCGGAUUGUAGGCUGCAACUCGCCUACAUGAAGUCGGAAUCGCUAGUAAUCGCGGAUCAGCACGCCGCGGUGAAUACGUUCCCGGGCCUU